GACGAACGCUGGCGGCGUGCUUAACACAUGCAAGUCGAACGGAAACGCCCUGCUUUUGUGGGGUGCUCGAGUGGCGAACGGGUGAGUAACACGUGAGUAACCUGCCCUUGACUUUGGGAUAACUUCAGGAAACUGGGGCUAAUAUCGGAUAGGAGCUCCUGCUGCAUGGUGGGGGGUGGAAAGUUGCGGCGGUUGGGGAUGGACGCGCGGCUUAUCAGCUUGUUGGUGGGGUAGUGGCUUGCCAAGGAUGUGACGGGUAGCCGGCCUGAGAGGGUGACCGGGCACAAUGCGACUGAGGUACGGCCCAGAGGCGUACGGGAGGCAACGGGGGGGAACAUUGCCCAGUGGGAGGGAGCCUGAGACAGCAACGCCGCGUGCGGAAUGACCGUCUGUGGGGUGUAAACCGCUUUCGGCUGAGACGAAGCGUGAGUGACGGUAAUGAGUAAAGAAGCACCGGCUAACUACGUG
rnacentral:rRNA from 1 species